rnacentral:misc_RNA from 1 species
UCUCCGUUGGUGAACCAGCGGAGGGAUCAUUACAGAGUCGUAAAACACUCCCAACCCAUGUGAACUUACCUUUGUUGCCUCGGCAGGACCUACCUGGUAUCUACCCUGUAGCCUGCCGGUGGACCACUAAACUAUUGUUAUUUUAUGGAAAUCUGAGCGUCUUAUUUAAUAAGUCAAAACUUUCAACAACGGAUCUCUUGGUUCUG